rnacentral:tRNA from 1 species
UUUUUAUAGCUUAUAGAGAGUUUAAUAUUGAAGAUAUUAAGGAGGUUAAUACUUGAAAAUAU